rnacentral:rRNA from 1 species
UGGGGAAUAUUGGACAAUGGGCGCAAGCCUGAUCCAGCAAUGCCGCGUGUGUGAAGAAGGUCUUCGGAUUGUAAAGCACUUUCGGCGGGGACGAUGAUGACGGUACCCGCAGAAGAAGCCCCGGCUAACUUCGUGCCAGCGGCCGCGGUAAUACGAAGGGGGCUAGCGUUGCUCGGAAUGACUGGGCGUAAAGGGCGCGUAGGCGGAUGUUACAGUCAGGCGUGAAAUUCCUGGGCUCAACCUGGGGGCUGCGUUUGAUACGUGAUGUCUGGAGUUCGGAAGAGGGUCGUGGAAUUCCCAGUGUAGAGGUGAAAUUCGUAGAUAUUGGGAAGAACACCGGUGGCGAAGGCGGCGACCUGGUCCUGGACUGACGCUGAGGCGCGAAAGCGUGGGGAGCAAAC